GACGAACGCUGGCGGCGUGCUUAACACAUGCAAGUCGAACGAAAAGAGGGAAAGAGCUUGCUCUUUCCGGAAUUGAGUGGCAAACGGGUGAGUAACACGUAAACAACCUGCCUUCAGGAUGGGGACAACAGACGGAAACGACUGCUAAUACCGAAUAAGUUCCAAGAGCCGCAUGGCCCAUGGAAGAAAAGGUGGCCUCUACCUGUAAGCUAUCGCCUGAAGAGGGGUUUGCGUCUGAUUAGCUGGUUGGAGGGGUAACGGCCCACCAAGGCGACGAUCAGUAGCCGGUCUGAGAGGAUGAACGGCCACACUGGAACUGAGACACGGUCCAGACUCCUACGGGAGGCAGCAGUGGGGAAUCUUCCGCAAUGGGCGAAAGCCUGACGGAGCAACGCCGCGUGAGUGAUGACGGCCUUCGGGUUGUAAAACUCUGUGAUCCGGGACGAAAAGGCAGAGUGCGAAGAACAAACUGCAUUGACGGUACCGGAAAAGCAAGCCACGGCUAACUACGUGCCAGCAGCCGCGGUAAUACGUAGGUGGCAAGCGUUGUCCGGAAUUAUUGGGCGUAAAGCGCGCGCAGGCGGCUUCCCAAGUCCCUCUUAAAAGUGCGGGGCUUAACCCCGUGAUGGGAAGGAAACUGGGAAGCUGGAGUAUCGGAGAGGAAAGUGGAAUUCCUAGUGUAGCGGUGAAAUGCGUAGAGAUUAGGAAGAACACCGGUGGCGAAGGCGACUUUCUGGACGAAAACUGACGCUGAGGCG
rnacentral:rRNA from 1 species